CCUCAGUCGGAUGGAACUUGAUGAGUCAAGCAUUCAGGAGCUGGUGCAGCAGUUUGAAGCUCUGCCAGGCGAUCUGGUGGGCCCAUCCCCAGAUGGAGCCCCCUGUCCCCUACACAUUGCCACAGGCCACGGCCUGGCCUCCCAGGAGAUUGCUGAUGCCCACGGGCUCCUGUCUGCCGAAGCUGGCCGGGAUGACCUGCUGGGCCUCUUGCACUGCGAGGAAUGCCCGCCUUCCCAGACUGGUCCUGAAGAGCCUCUAGAGCCUGUCCCCCGACUGUUGCAGCCACCUGAGGACCCAGAUGAGGAUUCUGACUCCCCAGAAUGGGCGGAGGGGGCCUCUGCUGAGCAGGAGGGCAGCAGGAGCUCAAGCAGUUCCCCGGAAUCCUGGCUGGAGACGGUGCCUCUAGUCACACCUGAAGAGCCACCCGCUGGUGCCCAGGUAGUGCCCGCCCCGCCCUCCAGGCAUCCUGGACUGCCUGGAACCAAGCAGGGAGACUCAGUCCUGCCCCUCCUCUAUCUUCUUCCAGAGCCCCGAGACCCUGGCUUCCUACCCUGCCCCCCAGGAGGUGCCCGGUCCCUGUGACCAUGAAGACCUCCUGGACGGUGUCAUAUUUGGGGCCAGGUACCUGGGGUCCACCCAGCUGGUGUCGGAACGGAACCCGCCCACCAGCACGCGCAUGGCCCAGGCCCGGGAGGCCAUGGACCGCGUCAAGGCCCCCGAUGGGGAGACCCAGCCCAUGACGGAGGUGGACCUGUUCGUCUCCACCAAGAGGAUCAAGGUCUUGACAGCGGACUCCCAGGAGGCCAUGAUGGACCACGCCCUGCAUACC
rnacentral:sRNA from 1 species